UACGUGGGAUGCAAGCGUUGUUCGGAAUUACUGGGCGUAAAGAGUACGUAGGCGGUUUGAAAAGUCUGAUAUUAAAGACUGGGGCUUAACUCCAGGAGUGUAUCGGAAACUUUCAGACUAGAGGACAAUAGAGGAAGUCGGAAUUCUCAGUGUAGCGGUGAAAUGCGUAGAUAUUGGGAAGAACACCAGUGGCGAAAGCGGACUUCUGGGUUGUUACUGACGCUGAGGUACGAAAGCGUGGGGAGCAAACGGG
rnacentral:rRNA from 1 species